AUUGAACGCUGGCGGCAGGCCUAACACAUGCAAGUCGAGCGGAGCGGCGGACGGGUGAGUAAUGCCUAGGAAUCUGCCUGGUAGUGGGGGAUAACGUCCGGAAACGGGCGCUAAUACAGCAUACUAUCAGAUGAGCCUAGGUCGUAUUAGCUAGUUUGUGGGGUAAUUGCCUACCAAGGCGACGAUCCGUAACUGGUCUGAGAGGCUGAUCAGUCACACUGGAACUUAGACCCGGUCCAGACUCCUACGGGAGGCAGCAGUAGGGAAUAUUGGGCAAGGGGCGAAAGCCGGAGCCAGCCAUGCCGCGUGUGUGAAGAAGGUCUUCGGAUUGUAAAGCACUUUAAGUUUGGAGGCGUUACCAACAGAAUAAGCACCGGCUAACUUCGUGCCAGCAGCCGCGGUAAUUC
rnacentral:rRNA from 1 species